rnacentral:lncRNA from 1 species
UAUAAAACUUCAUGUAUUUAAAUGAGCACAUAUUUUACAAAAUUAUUUAAUUUCUUUAGGGAAUAUAGAUCAGAUGAUUAAGAGUUUGAAGUACAACAUACAGAUUCUAGGCCAUUAUUUCGAACUUACAUGUUCCUCCCCGUACACUGAAUCAUCAACCAAUUUUAGCAGGAGGACUGACACUAGGACGAGGAUUAGUUAACAUCUUUAUGUGUAGCAGAUUUUCAUGUUUGGUAGAGGAGAUGGUCAUAUGGUUUCUCUUGACAUCUUCACAAGCCAAGUAGCUACUCCUCCUAGUAUGUGCUUUUCUUACAAGUUGACAAGCAAUUUUCUCUUUCUUUCCCUCUUCCCAAGGGUAUCUUUGAUAUUCAACUCCAACAACGCAGGAGAUUGAUCCACCAAUAAUAAUUAAGAUUAAUAAUAACAUUUUCUUUUUCAUCAAUCUGCAUACACAACAAUAAUUAGUUAAACGCACACACAUGGUGUAAAGAAAGUAAAGAAGAGUUACCUCUCCAUGAGCAAUUUUGAAAAUAUCUCUGAAUGUUUUUAUUUUGGUGUGAUUUUUUUGAAUGUAUGUUUUGAAUAUAUAAAUAAAAAAAAAUGUACAUUCAUGCAU